UUUGUUAAAGCAACAGUCCCCACGGCUGGCCGGGGUUCCACGGGGCACGGCACGGAGGCCGUGGCGGCCCUUGGCGUGUGGCGGGCGCCCUUGACAGUGGCGCCGCAGUGCUCUAGACCCCGGAUCGGCCCCGCCCCGGUCCUCCCUGGCUCGGCCGCGUUGUCCAGCGGGAUGGGCGGCGAGGCAGGGGCUCCUGCAGCCGCGGGGACCGAGGGCCACGUCAAGAGCUUGGGGCUGGUGUUCGAGGACGAGCGCAAGAGCUGCUACUCGAGCGGCGAGACGGUGGCCGGCCACGUGCUGCUGGAGGCGGCCGCCCCGCUGGCCCUGAGCGCGCUGCGCCUGGAGGCCCUGGGCCGUGCCACAGCCGCCUGGGGCCCUGGCAGUGCCACCCCGGCCCCCGCCGCGGAGGUGGAGUACCUGAACGUGCGCCUGAGCCUGCGGGAGCCCCCGGCAGGUGAAGGCGUCCUCUUAUUAGAGUCGGGGAAACAUGAAUUUCCAUUUAGCUUUCAACUUCCAUCUGAGCCUCUGGUGACAUCCUUCACGGGGAAGUAUGGCAGCAUCCGGUAUUGUGUGAGAGCUGUCCUGGAACGUCCCAGGGUGCCCGACCAGAGCGUGAAGCGGGAACUCCAGGUGAUCAGCCACAUCAACCUCAACACCCCAGCAUUACUAACGCCUGUAUUGAAAACUCAAGAGAAAAUGGUUGGCUGUUGGUUUUUCUCUUCUGGUCCAGUCUCGCUGAGUGCCAAAAUCGAGAGAAAGGGCUACUGUAAUGGAGAAGCAAUUCCCAUCUAUGCAGAAAUAGAGAACUGUUCCUCUCGCCUGGUUGUCCCCAAAGCUGCAAUUUUCCAAACCCAGACCUAUCUGGCUAGCGGGAAGACGAAGACGGUCAGGCACAUGGUGGCCAACGUCCGAGGAAACCACAUUGCGUCCGGGAGCACCGACACAUGGAAUGGGAAGACCCUCAAGAUCCCCCCCGUCACGCCUUCCAUCUUGGACUGCUGCAUCAUCAGAGUGGAUUAUUCCUUAGCUGUGUACAUUCACAUUCCUGGUGCUAAAAAAUUGAUGCUGGAGCUGCCCUUAGUGAUUGGCACAAUUCCCUACAGUGGUUUUGGUAGCAGAAACUCCAGCACUGCCAGCCAGUUCAUUAUGGACAUGAGCUGGUUGGCUCUCACUCUGCCAGAACAGCCUGAAGCGCCACCAAAUUAUGCAGACGUGGUAUCAGAGGAAGAGUUCUCUAGACACAUCCCUCCUUACCCCGAGCCCAUCAGCGGUGAGGAAGAAGCAUGCUGCCCUAUGUUUGCCUGCAUACAGGAAUUCCGCUUCCAGCCACCACCUCUUUACUCAGAGGUUGAUCCACAUCCUAGUGACGUGGAAGAGACCCAGCCUGUUUCCUUCAUUCUCUGAGCAUAUCAGAAAUCACUGUGUUCUUCAUCGAGCUAGAAUGUUCUUUCUUCCCCUCUUGCUUUUUGGGAGGAACAAGGAAGGAAGGAAGGUUACAUUUGGGACAGAAAUGAACAGCUGAACAGCAAGACUGAAGGCAUGAGAAAUUAAACAGUGCUCUAACUUUCCAGUGGGCCAAAAGAAUGGUUGCACAGCUUCAUAAUGUGGUCAUGUAUACCCCCUGUCCCCUUUAAGAGAUGGGAAGGAGACGGGAAACGUCACAGAAUGCGAAGGAAGUCCUGGUGGUAAUGAGUAAGUGGUGCCUGAACUGACCUGAGUGAAAGGAGUUUGUGGAGACACAAUCAUGGUGUAUGCUGAGAAAAGCUUCAGAAAGUGGAACCAAGUAGCCUGAGCUUCCAGCCAAUGUGUAUUUAGUGGGAGGAGAGUUGAUUUCAGAGGAGGAAGCCAAACAAGGUUGUGCGUGAGUAGGAAGGCCAGCUCGAAUAGGAAGGUAGGAAGGAAGGAAGGAAGGAAGGAAGAAAGAAAAAAAAAAAAGCAAGACCUGUACAGAUUCUUGAGUCUUCAUGAUUUUUCACCAUAUUCCUUAGAGUUGAAGUCCUUAGAAGAGCACCUUUCUCCUUUCUUGAGAUGACGGUCUUCUGAGGUCUGAAUCAAGUACUGCAACUUGAACUCUUUUGGUGGUAGUGUGUAACCUGUCUCAACAGUAUUAUAAAACCAGGAAAGAGUGCCUUGAAAGGCUGGUCUGCUUAAUGAAGACAGAAGUUUCAGUAGGAAAACACAUUUUACUGAGGGCUGUACUUCUUACUCCCUUUAAGUACUGUAAGAUGAUUCACAUUUGGCUUUCCUCCUGUCUUAAGUUACCUUAAAAGCACAUUAGAAAGAGAAAAGGGUGGGGGGAAGGUUUGCAUCUUCAGGAUGCCUGGAAAACUACAAGAGGAGGGAAAGUAUUUAUGUUCUUAGCCUGCAUCUAGUGAGCUUAUAAGAUACACUUUAAAACCCAAGGCCUGAUCAGUCUGCGCUGGAAUUUCUGCUGAUUUGCGUAGCAGUUUCCUACCACUGAUGAUCAAAUCUGAAUUUGAACCAAGAGAAAAAAGAAAACUAUAAGGCUAGCAUGAGACAGAAGUAAUGCAUGUGUACCAAAGGGUAUUUCACAAUGAAAAUUCAAAAGAGGGUAGGAAUACCAUUUAAAAAGAGAAAGGAAAGAGACAGAGAGAGAAACCUAGUUCCUGUCAGAAGAUGUGGGUCUGCUGAUGGCAGUCACGGUUUUGGACAUUGUUCUUCCAAUUUUUAAGUGAUUGUCUUUAAACUGUGAUUUCUGUUUAUUGUUUCUUGGUGCAAUAUUUGUAUUGUUUAACCUCAGGACAUUCAGACCCACAGAACUGUGUGGCUGCUAAAAGCUGAGCAGUUUUUUUUUUUUUUUUUUACUGCCACUCACCCUCCUCCGAGUCAUAGCCACAAAGUCACUUUUAUUUUUUCCCUUGAGUUGGUUGGUUGUGUGAGCUGAGAGUCUUUCUGGAUACAUAAGGGCAAAGGAGGCUGUCAGUUUCCCACUGUAGAGACUUUGGAGUCACUGAGUCCUCUUGAUUUUUCUCCAUGCCAAAAGGGUUUCACCAAGAAACCCUGGUGCUCUCCAUGCAGAAUGCUGCACUGCAUUCGGCAGAAUGAUACCAUUCUUCUCCCAACCAAUAUAUUCAGUUAGAAAUAGAGAAGUUCUUCUGAGGUUAGAUUUUGUAUCUGAAAAUUAGUUGGCCAUUAGAUCAGGAAAUUUUUCUACAGGCACAAGGGAAACGUAUGCUUUUCACCCCCUCUGGACAUACCUCUCUUCUGGGUGAUCACAGAAGCACCCAAGCAUCCCUGCACUGUGAGCCACUGUUUAAACCACAGUACAACAUUGUGAUGCCAAUAACUGUGAUACUGAAAUUGUCACAAAGCUUUAUUCCCUGCUCUGGUAUUUGGUAGCUUAUCAUUUCCUCUGGUGUGUGUGUGUGUGUGUGUGUGUGUGUGUGUGUGUGUGUGUGUCCGUCCAUACAUUUAAAUAUCCAGGGUUUUUUUUUAUUUUAGUUUUAAAAAGAUCAUCUUCAACUGUGUCAUGAUAUCUUAUUGUACUUUCUAUGCCUUGUUAAGACGUUGUCCAUCUCUCUGAUUCCAAAACAAGGGGAAAGAAAGAAAACAACAGAGGAAGAGAAGGUUUAAUUAUUUUAAAAAGCAGCAGCUUAAAGGAAUCUACUACUCGAAUUGCUUUGUUAUAGAAAUCGUGAAGUGUGCCCACGACACUGAAGCAAAUCUGGUUUUGUAGCACUUGAGAGAAGAGCUAAAAUGGUGGAUUUGCCUUAUUGAUCAUGUUGUCAUAGCCGACUUUAAGCUGUAGGUUGAAGCUGCAUAUAUUUUCAUAAUCGAGAAAUCCUUUUAUGAAUGUAGAAAAUUCUACACUGAAACAGAAAAUCCUUGAGAAUGAAGAUAAAACUUAAGCUGCUGUUAUUUGCCUGUUUAUUCUCCCUCUUGUGUAGUUUGCAAAGAAAACUGUGGCCUUAGAAUUUUUCUUUUCUGAUGCAAAAAAAAUUUUUUUGAAGAUGAAUAUGUACAUCUUCUACAGAGCACACAAAAUCUUUCCAUGUAUACAACUUUACUCUUCUUGUUUUUUGCUUUGCACAUUAAGACACUCAAUAGGCAGGGGUUAUGUUUUUGAUAAGUUAAUUAUGAAAGCUUUUUUAUUUUUAUUAUUUAAAACAUAACAGUUUAGCCCACAGGAAAAAAAAUUGUAUUUUGUACUCUUGUUUGAGCCCUAUGGGUUCCUUUUGUUAAUAAAAUGAUUACAUCGA